rnacentral:misc_RNA from 1 species
UUCUCAAAAAUAUUUAGUUUAAAACAUAUAAAAAAAUGUAUGAAAUUAUUAACUAAGUGAUCAGGAAGUCAAUGGAAACGAAUAUUUAGUGUUUGAUGCAGAUAUUAGUCUAGGUUUCAUUAUUUGUGCAUAAUUUAAUUUAAUUGUAUCAUUCAUCACACAUUCCUCUGACUCUUCCAUACAGUUAAAUUUUCCAACUGGCACUUGCACUUCUGAUAAGCCUUCUGCACAGAGAAGUAAUAUUUUAAAGAUGUAUAGUGAUUUUUCUGGAUUACAAGAUACAACUUCUGCAACAAUAAAGUUUGAUAUUUGUGGUGUAAAAUCCGAGCCAAUUUUGAGCAUCUAAAAAUGAAUUUCAUGUAAAAUUGUGAUUAAAAAUAUAAUUAAUAUUUCAAAAAGUUACCUU